rnacentral:sRNA from 1 species
UCCGAUAGAUUUUUGUGCCCAUUUUAUGUACUGCCAAGAGAUGAUCGUUCUUCGAUACGUCAGAGUCUUCAAAUCCUUCGAAAGGGAACCAAAUUCCACGAGACUUGGCUUUCAAUAAGCCCUCAUCCGAUUAUCCAGUCCGUCUAUUUUCUCAACUUAAGAAGUAUUGCGCUAUGAGAAGGAGCUUUCCCCGCAUGGAUCAGUAUCCGUUUAUGCUCGCACACUGCGUACCCCUCCCCGAACAGGCUCAACAGCAAUCAAGCUGAGCAUUCUUCUAGUGGUAUUCAUCAGGAAAGUGGCCGCAAUCCAAGAGAUUGUAAACUGCACUACAAGUGCAAACCAAAAGCCAAUCCAACUUUUUUGCCACAAUCCCUAACCGUUCCCCCAUGGGGAAAGUAGUGUAAUGGGAGAUACCAUGGCCCAGUGUGUGGCCCGUUUUUGUUUAUCUUUGCGGAGAGUCGCCCACUGGAGAUGGGAGUCGAGGGUCCGGGCAGUGACUGGUGGACUGAAAAUGCAAAGCAAAUGCGGCAUAUAUGUGUAUCUGUGGCUGUUAGUCCAAGCGAGAGACAGACGGAUGGGGAUAGGGAAUGUCAGCAGGACAGCAGCAGUGGAAGUAGGUGCGGGAGUCGGAGUGGCAACGUGCAUCCAGAGUGCCCCCCAUCUGCCGCGCAUAAAAAUUAAAAAUUUCAUUAAAUUCACAAAAAUGCUUGAAGUGGAAAAAUGUAAUAUCCUUUGGGCACAAAGGAUGUGCAUAUAAAUGCAAAUGCGGUGCUGUUAAAAACGGAGCGAUAUGUCCGAGCCCCAGUUCUGCCACAACCCAUACCCAGUCCUCCUCCAACAGCAUGCAUGAAUGCACAUUGUGCUCGUAGGCGAGAGCGAGAGCGAGAGACACUACAUGUACUUAUGUACAUACAUACAUACAUAUAUAUAUGUUCGUAUUCCGCUGGCUUAUCUCGGUCUCCCUCCCACUGGCCCUGCUCCGUGCUGCGGCCCUGCCAACCUUGUUUGCAAUUAGCGAGUGACUAGCAUUCGCCUAGUGCAGAGUGGGCGGCCGCAGCCGCAGCCCUAAACGAUAAAAGAGGACCACAUUGUUGACUAAAGAAAACUCCGGAAAUUCUUAUGAGUUAGUUCGUAGUCUUCGGCUAUGCAGAUUUUCUUUUGUAUCUUGCUAAAAGCUAUUGUACCUAUUAUUCUUUACAGUAUCAAUGGAAAAGAUGUCGAUACAAACUCAAUUUCAACGCACCUCUGGCAGCGAUACUGUUUCCUCGAGCUACAGCCUCGUUCCAAAUGACUUAAGCCAAAAACAGAUGUACAAGCCAAUCGGCUCGUCCUGGCUCAUGAGGAUAACUUGCCUCCGCAAUAGUGGCAAGUGGUUCGGAUCGUUCCUGUGAUCGCUGGCCACAAUAAUCAAAUCCGAGUGGUAGAUUUCAAAACAGCGAAAGGAAUUUUUCUUAACGUAAUCCACAAGGUUGUCCCUAAAUCAGGUAUUCGUACCGCCAUUGUCCUCGAGUCAAAUUGCCCAAGACGCUGGUAUGCCGUGAGUCGGUAAAGUUUCUACCACCGUUCUCCGCCACUUGCUUACUAAGACGUCAUCGGAUUGGGACAAUCCACUCGAUGCGGGGACUGGGGAGCAGCCGAAAACAUAUGCCGAGCGAGCGACAAAAGUUCGAAAAUUAAAAGUUUCCGCUGCGGCUCUGCCAGAAAGUAUGGAAAAGUCGCAGACCCAGAUGGAGACCCGGAGGAGAAGCGGGAUAUGGAUAUGGAUACGGAUACAGAGAAGCGACUGCGGCAAACGAACUGCAAAUGUGCAGGCGUAUUCGUGUGUGGAAAACCGUAAUUAUGACGCUUGUUAGCAGCUACCCCUUGAAUAUGGGAAACAUUGGGCUGGAUGAUAUUCAUAUGCAGCAAAAAGGAGUGCCAGGCGGAUAAUCACUAGUUAUAAAUAACAGAUCGAAAGGUCUAGAUUACCUGGAGAAGCUUGAUGCCGAUAAAGAAUACAAUAUAUACUUGAUGUUCUUGAAAAUGCAAAAUCAUAAUGCCCUCUGGAAGCGUAUAAAAAGAGAAAGCAGCACAAGCCAGCCAAUUUCAGACCAAGUCCUGGAAAUGGACCAACUCCAAGUGCUGUAGGUCCUGCUGCUGCUGGUGCUCCUGCUGCUGCUGGUGCUGCUUUCGUUCUCUCUCCCGAUGAUGUGUCUUAUCUUGUCCUGCAGUGGCUGAGCGAUGCCAGCGCAUCCUGGAAGCUUUUUAUCUUGGCGUCAUGUUGAUGUUUGUCGGAAACUUGAUUAUUUUCAUCGUUUUUUUCAGAGCCAGCGAAUGGGUCUCCAUAUGGCUGAAGAUGUUUGGAUGCUGGCGGCGGUUGAGAGCAAAGAAGCAGUCUGGGAUUAGCCCUCCCACAGAAACCCACAAAAUGGCAGGGAAAAACACGACAGCCAAACAAAAAAAAAAAAACGGAAAAAAAACUUGCACGAUAUUCUGUGGAUAGAAGUUGAAAAUAAGGAGUUUCGCAGCAAUGUAAAUGCAACUUUAACUUCUCAUACCCGCAACAAGAGUUCGGGGUUACAGGUUGCUCUGGUUUGACUGUUUCCUGUUGUUUUUGACAAACAAGGAGAGCACACUCGUUCCUCGUAAGUAAAAUAGGUUGUAAUAAGAGCAGUUAACAACAUGAGUGAGGCCAAGGCGAGCGGAACAGGACGAGGCCAAGACACCUGAACGUCACGGCACAAACGUGUGUACAGUGGAGAUGCCUUCUAAUGGACAGAAGGAGUUGCGUACACCAAGAAAGUAGUAAAUCUUAAGAACGAAAUGGAAAGUUUAAUGGAACGAAAAACUCCCAUGUUGAAAAGUUUAUUUCAACAAUGUAUUUGAGAGGAUUAAAAAGGUGUGCAUGCAUCAUAAGGGAAAGCAUAGAAAAGAGCCCACACUCACUGUACCUAUGCCAAAACCGCUACAGGGGUUCUGCCCUGUGCCACAGAGCAUGGAAAGCAGCGGCAGGGACCGAGGGAGCGCUCCUGACAACUGACAACUCCUUUAAAAUGUAGUUACUGUUGUUAUUAUUCAACCUUAAUGAACUUAACAAGCUCGCACAACGACGACGACGACGACGGCUACGAGGACGAAGACGACAUGCUGCCAGGCCGGCAGCAGUCGGACACAGGAAUCCCGCCCCCACCUAUAGACCACCAAGCCCACCUCCACACAAGCAGCCAGUCAGACAGACAGACAGACAGACGAGCAAGUCAAACAUAGAGGGAAAGGCAGAGACAGGGAGAGAGUGGAAGAAUGGAAGAGGACGCUCUCAAUGGCGCAGGGUCACGUAACUCAAAUAAAGCGCCAAAGCCACCAGCCGCAAAAAAAAAUCACAAAAGAACCAAAGGAAAACAACAAAAUGAAGCGAAGACAGGGCAGGACAGUGCACGCCGCCAAGGGAUUGAGCGGCACAGGCCACCUUUACGCCCUGUCCCAUGCACAUUGUGCAUUUUGGCCCUCGCCAAAGCCGAGGCAAAUUAAAAAUGUUUCACAAAUAUUGGGAGAACGAGGCCGGAACACAGAGAGCGGAACGCUGCGGACGGGCUCGCAAGGCAAGAGCUUAAACGGAUAUGAUUAUUGUAUUUCGUAUCGAUUGCAUCAAAUAUUGAGGGGCAGCAUACUUCAGAAUAUUUUUUUCAAACAUAUGAACUUGGGAUUUGAUAGAUUGAUGGCCAGCUUGCCAGCUUAAUGUUCCGAAGGCUCUGCCAUUCUUCACUUAUUCUUGAACUACGGGACACUUUAACACUUUCUUUUAUAUCCGAAAAGACAUUAAUAGAAAUGAAAUAGGCCCCUCCCCUGAUUACUUACAAUUAGCUGAAUUUAAUUGCCUAUAGAGCGAUAUAAGGUAUUUUUAUCAUGAAAUCUCAAAAUACGGUCUACACGUGGCUGAUUCGAAUACUUGUAAAUAUUAUUCUUCUCCGAAUACACCGAUUGGAUUAGACGCCGCGCUGCAACGAGGUUGGGUGUGCAAUACGGUCAGGUCGAAGGUUGAACUAGACAUCCCGCAGAGCCCACGCAUGUGACCUCCACUUCACAACCACCAUCGAAGAUAUCCCGGCCAUCAAUUUGCCAAAAGUGCUCAAAGCCAACGCUUCGGGAGUUCUUUAAAGUGAGAUCUAUGCCCCUCUCAGGGAUCUUCUUGCCACCAAGUGCAAUGCGGGUCGCCUCAGACGCUGUACGCCUGCGUUGUAGCAUCCUAAAAUUUAAGUGAAACUUUUGUAAUAUUUCUUGAAGAACUGACGGGGUUGUUACUUUACCCGUUAUCUCCUAAACUCCGGACACUGCACACUGGAUACAUACACUAUAUACGGAUAGAAUCGAUGCAGACUCGGAAAUGUACUUGGGCCAUUCUUUUACGCUGAUUUAGAUUUGGGAUGUGGAGUAGGACUACUGGGGAUACCACAAUAAAAAAAAACGCGCUUAGAACUCUACCUGUAUGGUGGUGU